rnacentral:rRNA from 1 species
UUGUCUCUCUUGAGUGGAUCCUGAGUACGACGGAGCACGUGAAAUUCCGUCGGAAUCUGGGAGGACCAUCUCCUAAGGCUAAAUACUCUCUAGUGACCGAUAGUGAACCAGUACCGUGAGGGAAAGGUGAAAAGCACCCCGGAAGGGGAGUGAAAUAGAACCUGAAACCGUGUGCUUACAAGUAGUCAGAGCCCGUUAAUGGGUGAUGGCGUGCCUUUUGUAGAAUGAACCGGCGAGUUACGAUUUGAUGCAAGGUUAAGCAGUAAAUGUGGAGCCGUAGCGAAAGCGAGUCUGAAUAGGGCGUUUAGUAUUUGGUCGUAGACCCGAAACCAGGUGAUCUACCCUUGGUCAGGUUGAAGUUCAGGUAACACUGAAUGGAGGACCGAACCGACUUACGUUGAAAAGUGAGCGGAUGAACUGAGGGUAGCGGAGAAAUUCCAAUCGAACCUGGAGAUAGCUGGUUCUCUCCGAAAUAGCUUUAGGGCUAGCCUCAAGUGAUGAUUAUUGGAGGUAGAGCACUGUUUGGACGAGGGGCCCCUCUCGGGUUACCGAAUUCAGACAAACUCCGAAUGCCAAUUAAUUUAACUUGGGAGUCAGAACAUGGGUGAUAAGGUCCGUGUUCGAAAGGGAAACAGCCCAGACCACCAGCUAAGGUCCCAAAAUAUAUGUUAAGUGGAAAAGGAUGUGGCGUUGCCCAGACAACUAGGAUGUUGGCUUAGAAGCAGCCAUCAUUUAAAGAGUGCGUAAUAGCUCACUAGUCGAGUGACACUGCGCCGAAAAUGUACCGGGGCUAAACAUAUUACCGAAGCUGUGGAUUGUCCUUUGGACAAUGGUAGGAGAGCGUUCUAAGGGCGUUGAAGCAUGAUCGUAAGGACAUGUGGAGCGCUUAGAAGUGAGAAUGCCGGUGUGAGUAGCGAAAGACGGGUGAGAAUCCCGUCCACCGAUUGACUAAGGUUUCCAGAGGAAGGCUCGUCCGCUCUGGGUUAGUCGGGUCCUAAGCUGAGGCCGACAGGCGUAGGCGAUGGAUAACAGGUUGAUAUUCCUGUACCACCUAUAAUCGUUUUAAUCGAUGGGGGGACGCAGUAGGAUAGGCGAAGCGUGCGAUUGGAUUGCACGUCUAAGCAGUAAGGCUGGGUAUUAGGCAAAUCCGGUACUCGUUAAGGCUGAGCUGUGAUGGGGAGAAGACAUUGUGUCUUCGAGUCGUUGAUUUCACACUGCCGAGAAAAGCCUCUAGAUAGAAAAUAGGUGCCCGUACCGCAAACCGACACAGGUAGUCAAGAUGAGAAUUCUAAGGUGAGCGAGCGAACUCUCGUUAAGGAACUCGGCAAAAUGACCCCGUAACUUCGGGAGAAGGGGUGCUCUUUAGGGUUAACGCCCAGAAGAGCCGCAGUGAAUAGGCCCAAGCGACUGUUUAUCAAAAACACAGGUCUCUGCUAAACCGUAAGGUGAUGUAUAGGGGCUGACGCCUGCCCGGUGCUGGAAGGUUAAGAGGAGUGGUUAGCUUCUGCGAAGCUACGAAUCGAAGCCCCAGUAAACGGCGGCCGUAACUAUAACGGUCCUAAGGUAGCGAAAUUCCUUGUCGGGUAAGUUCCGACCCGCACGAAAGGCGUAACGAUUUGGGCACUGUCUCAACGAGAGACUCGGUGAAAUCAUAGUACCUGUGAAGAUGCAGGUUACCCGCGACAGGACGGAAAGACCCCGUGGAGCUUUACUGUAGCCUGAUAUUGAAAUUCGGCACAGCUUGUACAGGAUAGGUAGGAGCCUUUGAAACGUGAGCGCUAGCUUACGUGGAGGCGCUGGUGGGAUACUACCCUAGCUGUGUUGGCUUUCUAACCCGCACCACUUAUCGUGGUGGGAGACAGUGUCAGGCGGGCAGUUUGACUGGGGCGGUCGCCUCCUAAAAGGUAACGGAGGCGCUCAAAGGUUCCCUCAGAAUGGUUGGAAAUCAUUCAUAGAGUGUAAAGGCAUAAGGGAGCUUGACUGCGAGACCUACAAGUCGAGCAGGGUCGAAAGACGGACUUAGUGAUCCGGUGGUUCCGCAUGGAAGGGCCAUCGCUCAACGGAUAAAAGCUACCCCGGGGAUAACAGGCUUAUCUCCCCCAAGAGUUCACAUCGACGGGGAGGUUUGGCACCUCGAUGUCGGCUCAUCGCAUCCUGGGGCUGUAGUCGGUCCCAAGGGUUGGGCUGUUCGCCCAUUAAAGCGGUACGCGAGCUGGGUUCAGAACGUCGUGAGACAGUUCGGUCCCUAUCCGUCGUGGGCGUAGGAAAUUUGAGAGGAGCUGUCCUUAGUACGAGAGGACCGGGAUGGACAUACCUCUGGUGUACCAGUUGUCGUGCCAACGGCAUAGCUGGGUAGCUAUGUGUGGACGGGAUAAGUGCUGAAAGCAUCUAAGCAUGAAGCCCCCCUCAAGAUGAGAUUUCCCAACUUCGGUUAUAAGAUCCCUCAAAGAUGAUGAGGUUAAUAGGUUCGAGGUGGAAGCAUGGUGACAUGUGGAGCUGACGAAUACUAAUCGAUCGAAGACUUAAUCAA